UACGAAGGGGGCUAGCGUUGUUCGGAAUCACUGGGCGUAAAGCGCACGUAGGCGGAUCUUUAAGUCAGGGGUGAAAUCCCGAGGCUCAACCUCGGAACUGCCUUUGAUACUGGGGAUCUCGAGUCCGGGAGAGGUGAGUGGAACUGCGAGUGUAGAGGUGAAAUUCGUAGAUAUUCGCAAGAACACCAGUGGCGAAGGCGGCUCACUGGCCCGGAACUGACGCUGAGGCGCGAAAGCGUGGGGAGCAAACGGG
rnacentral:rRNA from 1 species